AGAGUUUGAUCCUGGCUCAGGACGAACGCUGGCGGCGUGCCUAAUACAUGCAAGUCGAGCGAACCGACGGGAGCUUGCUCCCUUAGGUCAGCGGCGGACGGGUGAGUAACACGUGGGUAACCUGCCUGUAAGACUGGGAUAACUCCGGGAAACCGGGGCUAAUACCGGAUGCUUGAUUGAACCGCAUGGUUCAAUCAUAAAAGGUGGCUUUUAGCUACCACUUGCAGAUGGACCCGCGGCGCAUUAGCUAGUUGGUGAGGUAACGGCUCACCAAGGCGACGAUGCGUAGCCGACCUGAGAGGGUGAUCGGCCACACUGGGACUGAGACACGGCCCAGACUCCUACGGGAGGCAGCAGUAGGGAAUCUUCCGCAAUGGACGAAAGUCUGACGGAGCAACGCCGCGUGAGCGAAGAAGGUCUUCGGAUCGUAAAGCUCUGUUGUUAGGGAAGAACAAGUACCGUUCGAAUAGGGCGGUACCGUGACGGUACCUAACCAGAAAGCCACGGCUAACUACGUGCCAGCAGCCGCGGUAAUACGUAGGUGGCAAGCGUUGUCCGGAAUUAUUGGGCGUAAAGCGCGCGCAGGCGGCUUCUUAAGUCUGAUGUGAAAGCCCGCGGCUUAACCGCGGAGGGUCAUUGGAAACUGGGGAGCUUGAGUGCAGAAGAGGAGAGUGGAAUUCCACGUGUAGCGGUGAAAUGCGUAGAGAUGUGGAGGAACACCAGUGGCGAAGGCGGCUCUCUGGUCUGUAACUGACGCUGAGGCGCGAAAGCGUGGGGAGCAAACAGGAUUAGAUACCCUGGUAGUCCACGCCGUAAACGAUGAGUGCUAAGUGUUAGAGGGUUUCCGCC
rnacentral:rRNA from 1 species